ACGGAAGGCAGCAGUGGGGAAUAUUGGGCAAUGGGCGCAAGCCUGACCCAGCAACGCCGCGUGAAGGAAGAAGGCUUUCGGGUUGUAAACUUCUUUUAAGGGGGAAGAGUAGAAGACGGUACCCCUAGAAUAAGCCACGGCUAACUACGUGCCAGCAGCCGCGGUAAUACGUAGGUGGCAGCGUUGUCCGGAUUUACUGGGUGUAAAGGGCGCGUAGGCGGGGAUGCAAGUCAGAUGUGAAAUCUAUGGGCUCAACUCAUAAACUGCAUUUGAAACUGUAUCUCUUGAGUGCUGGAGAGGUAGAUGGAAUUCCUUGUGUAGCGGUGAAAUGCGUAGAUAUAAGGAAGAACACCAGUGGCGAAGGCGAUCUACUGGACAGUAACUGACGCUGAGGCGCGAGAGCGUGGGGAGCAAACAGGAUUAGAUACCCUGGUA
rnacentral:rRNA from 1 species